UCUAUGGCUUGGGUGGCCAGAGUCUUGGAUUUUUUGGGGGGCCUUUCUCUGACACUGCCUGACAUAGAGGUUGUUUAACACUGGUUGUGCCUGUGGGGGCCAAUUUAGUUUUACCAUUAUGAGUAUGCCCCUUUCAUAAAUUUAAAUCUAGUGCUGAAACCUGAAAAGUGUUAUUCACGAGGUGGUUCACGAGGUAACAGUGUAAGUAGUUCACGAGGUAACAGUGUAAGUAGUUCACGAGGUAACAGUGUAGUCAGUGGUGUAAGUAGUUCACGAGGUGACAGUGUAGUCAGUGGUGUAAGUAGUUCACGAGGUAACGGUGUAGUCAGUGGUGUAAGUAGUUCACGAGGUAACAGUGUAAGUAGUUCACGAGGUGACAGUGUAGUCAGUGGUGUAAGUAGUUCACGAGGUAACAGUGUAGUCAGUGGUGUAAGUAGUUCACGAGGUAACAGUGUAAGUAGUUCACGAGGUGACAGUGUAGUCAGUGGUGUAAGUAGUUCACGAGGUGACAGUGUAGUCAGUGGUGUAAGUAGUUCACGAGGUGACAGUGUAGUCAGUGGUGUAAGUAGUUCACGAGGUAACGGUGUAGUCAGUGGUGUAAGUAGUUCACGAGGUAACAGUGUAGUCAGUGGUGUAAGUAGUUCACGAGGUGACAGUGUAGUCAGUGGUGUAAGUAGUUCACGAGGUAACAGUGUAAGUAGUUCACGAGGUAACAGUGUAGUCAGUGGUGUAAGUAGUUCACGAGGUGACAGUGUAGUCAGUGGUGUAAGUAGUUCACGAGGUGACAGUGUAGUCAGUGGUGUAAGUAGUUCACGAGGUGACAGUGUAGUCAGUGGUGUAAGUAGUUCACACGGUAGCGGUGUAGUCAGUGGUGUUUAUCACUUUAAAAAUAGAGACAAAGAAAAAUCACUGUCUGUUGGAAAACUAAACGCUUUGAGAAUCCUUGAUUAGGUUUACUAAAGCAAUGUGCCAUGAACAAUAUUUGCAUAAAAGCAUUUGACUACACAUUGAGCUGUCUAUCUGUGUGUUGGUGACAGCUUCUUUAGUAUGACAGAUGGAGAGAGAGAAAUAAACCCACUGCUG